UGAGUACCAUCAUUCAAUUCAGGAGUUUGAGUACCCAUCACCAUCCAGACUGAGACACCAGAGAUGGGGUCAGAAUGGCUGAGAAGAUGAAAGAGACCAUGGCAUAUACGCUGACUCAAAUGAUCAAAUAGAGAGACAGCAUUUGAAGGACUAGAAGAAUACAUGAAUGACUGCAGGACAGGGCCUCAUUUGCUGACCAGAGAGGAUGGGAUCCAGGACAUGAAUAGAAGAGUUGACCAUAAACAGAAGCCUGAAAUUGUCAUCCUUUCUAAGAGCAGAAAAGCAGAAUAUGUGGUACAUGCAUGUUGUGUUUGCAAAUACGGUGAUGAGAACAUAUGGAAUUUCUCCUCUGAUCACCUCUUUUCCCAGUGAAAUGAGAUACAGUGUUUUUAGCUGAGAAUGAGGAACUAGGAGAAAGUUGAUGUUAGCCAUUGAAGGCGAGAGGAGUUGUGAGGUGACUGUCUUGAAAGAAUGGGAGAGUAGGUUAACUAGGGAAAGUCAUAAAAUCGCCUGGAAGCAGUGGUGUCCAUUUGAACAUUGUGUUCAUGAAUUUAAAGAGCAACCAUUAGAAUGGCUAUGUGUUUUUCUUCAGCCACACAUGGUUGGUUCCAAGUAUGGAGAAAUUAGAUUUAACAGGACUGGGUUUUUCUGAUGAGUGUGAUGAAAAUAGAGACAAACAAAGGAGAAAACAAGUCAUACUUGGGAAUAAUAAUGAUGAUGGACCAUGGAUUCUAAUUUGGACAAAGAGUAAAUAAGAGUCAUGAUGGAGAGGGGAAAGGUGGUGGAGUCCACACAUUGGAGGAAUCAAUGUUAUUGAAGAAUUUCUGAAGUGGAUGUACUUCAAGGCCUUGGAAAUUUAGGAGGCCAUCUUUGGAGAACAAUGGGCCUAGAACUGAAAUUACAAAGUGUAUUGUAGGAAUGACAAUAUCUAAGAUAUGCCAAUGAGAAUGAGUGGCUAAAUCAGGGUGAAAAGUAAGAUCAAGGUAGGAAGUCAAAGAAGUAAGAGCCAAAUUAUGGAAUAUUGGAAUAGUAUUAGAAUUUGCUCCUGAAUAUGAAUAAAGAAAUCACCAAGAAUUAUGACUGGAAUAGUGUUGGAAAAAGUGUGAGCCAGGUGCUAAAAUCUUCAAAGAAUGAGAGUGAGGUCCUGGAGGACUGUUGAUUGUGUAGAAAGGGUUAUUGGUGGGGAGAGGAAUCUGUUAACAUUAGCUUCAGUGCAGCUGAAGGUUGUUAGUGGGGAAGAAGGGAAAAACGGUUUGGAAGUUUCAAUAAGAAAGAAGGACACUAACCCCGUAUCAAGACCUACUGACACAGUAAGGGAGAAAGAACAGCUUCCAUUUGA
rnacentral:lncRNA from 1 species